UGUGGUGAAGCUCAAUGGCGAGCUAGCAGAUAGGCGACAGUGAAAAUACUAGUCAUGUAGCUGACCGCCGCGCGUAUUGCAAUCGGCAGCGCACCGAUGGAAGCCGGUUCGAUUCCGGCCGCCACAA
rnacentral:tRNA from 7 species